rnacentral:rRNA from 1 species
UACGUAGGGUGCGAGCGUUAAUCGGAAUUACUGGGCGUAAAGCGUGCGCAGGCGGCGCCGCAAGUCAGUCGUGAAAUCCCCGAGCUUAACUUGGGAAUGGCGCUUGAAACUACGGUGCUGGAGUGUGGCAGAGGGAGGUGGAAUUCCACGUGUAGCGGUGAAAUGCGUAGAGAUGUGGAGGAACACCGAUGGCGAAGGCAGCCUCCUGGGAAAACACUGACGCUCAUGCACGAAAGCGUGGGGAGCAAACAGG